rnacentral:rRNA from 1 species
UACAGAGGUCUCAAGCGUUGUUCGGAUUCAUUGGGCGUAAAGGGUGCGUAGGUGGCGCCGUAAGUCAGGUGUGAAAUUUCGGAGCUUAACUCCGAAACUGCAUUUGAUACUGCGGUGCUUGAGGACUGGAGAGGAGACUGGAAUUCACGGUGUAGCAGUGAAAUGCGUAGAUAUCGUGAGGAAGACCAGUGGCGAAGGCGGGUCUCUGGACAGUUCCUGACACUGAGGCACGAAGGUCAGGGGAGCAAACGGG